CAGUAGGGAAUCUUCCACAAUGGACGCAAGUCUGAUGGAGCAACGCCGCGUGAGUGAAGAAGGCCUUCGGAUCGUAAAACUCUGUUGUUAGAGAAGAACACGAGUGAGAGUAACUGUUCAUUCGAUGACGGUAUCUAACCAGCAAGUCACGGCUAACUACGUGCCAG
rnacentral:rRNA from 1 species